UCCGAGUUGUCCCCGGCAGUCCCUCUAGAGUCCCCGGCAUUACCCGCUGGCAACUAAAGGCAGGGGUUGCGCUCGUUGCGGCACUUAAGCCAACACCUCACGGCACGAGCUGACGACAGCCGUGCAGCACCUGUGCACGCUCCCUCGCGGGUCCUUCGGGUUUCCCCUCCGUACCACGUGCAUGUCAAGCCCGGGUAAGGUUCUUCGCGUUGCAUCGAAUUGAACCACAUGCUCCACCGCUUGUGUGAGCCCCCGUCAAUUCCUUUGAGUUUUAGCCUUGCGACCGUACUUCCCAGGCGGUCGACUUAGCACUUUUGCUUCGACCGUGAUAGCGUCAGAGCCACCACGAUCUAGUCGACAUCGUUUACAGCCAGGACUAC
rnacentral:misc_RNA from 1 species